AGUAAAUUGGUUAAGUUAGAAAGGGCGCACGGUGGAUGCCUUGGCACUAGGAGCCGAAGAAGGACGGGACUAACACCGAUAUGCUUUGGGGAGCUGUACGUAAGCGUUGAUCCAGAGAUUUCCGAAUGGGGGAACCCACUAUCUUUAGUCGGAUAGUAUCCUUACGUGAAUACAUAGCGUGAGGAAGGCAGACCCAGGGAACUGAAACAUCUAAGUACCUGGAGGAAGAGAAAGAAAAAUCGAUUUCCUGAGUAGCGGCGAGCGAAACGGAAAGAGCCCAAACCAAGAAGCUUGCUUCUUGGGGUUGUAGGACACUCUAUACGGAGUUACAAAAGAAAGUUAUAAAUGAAGCGGUCUGGAAAGGCCCGCCAAAGACGGUAACAGCCCGGUAGUUGAAAUAGCUUUCCCUCCAGAGUGGAUCCUGAGUACGGCGGAACACGUGAAAUUCCGUCGGAAUCCGGGAGGACCAUCUCCCAAGGCUAAAUACUCCCUAGUGAC
rnacentral:rRNA from 1 species